CUUACUGCUAUCGGGUUGAGACUAAGCCAUGCAAGUCGUGCGCUCUCUAGCUAUGUUGAGAGCGCGGCGAACAGCUCUGUAACACGUAGUUAACCUGCCCUCGGGAUGGAGAUAACCCCUAGGAAACUGGGAUUAAUAUCCACUAGAUGACACUGCCUGGAAUGGCUUAUCAUCGAAAGAUUCUGGAUACAUGCUUCCAGUAUCGCCCGAGGAUGGGACUGCGUCCGAUCAGGUUGUUGGCGGGGUAACGGCCACCAAGCCUAUUACCGGUACGGGCCCUGAGAGGGGGAGCCCGGAGAUGGAAACUGAGACAAUGUUCCAGGCCCUACGGGGCGCAGCAGGCGCGAAACCUCCACAAUGCGCGCAAGCGUGAUGGGGUUAGCCCGAGUGCCGUCCGAUGAGGAUGGCUUUUCCUUGGUGUAAAAAUCCAGGGGAAUAAAGGGGGGGCAAGACUGGUGUCAGCCGCCGCGGUAAUACCAGCCCCCUGAGUGGUAAGGACGAUUAUUUGGCUUAAAGCGUUCGUAGCCGGCUUAGUAAGUCUCCUGUUAAAUCCAAUGAUUCAAUCAUUGAACUGCAAGAGAUACUGCUAUGCUAGAGGACGGGAGAGGUCGACGGUAGUCCAGGGGUAGGGGUGAAAUCCUAUAAUCCUUGGAGGACCACCAGUGGCGAAGGCGGUCGACUAGAACGUGCCUGACGGUGAGGGACGAAAGCUGGGGGAGCGAACCGGAUUAGAUACCCGGGUAGUCCCAGCUGUAAACGAUGCGGGCUAGGUGUAGGGGUAGCUACGAGCUGCUCCUGUGCCGCAGAGAAAUUGUUAAGCCCGCCGCCUGGGGAGUACGAUCGCAAGAUUGAAACUUAAAGGAAUUGGCGGGGGAGCACCACAAGGG
rnacentral:rRNA from 1 species